rnacentral:rRNA from 1 species
ACGAACGCUGGCGGCGUGCUUCACACAUGCCAGUCGCACGGAAAGGCCCUGCUUUUGUGGGGUGCUCGAGUGGCGAACGGGUGAGUAACACGUGAGUAACCUGCCCUUGACUUUGGGAUAACUUCAGGAAACUGGGGCUAAUACCGGAUAGGAGCUCCUGCUGCAUGGUGGGGGUUGGAAAGUUUCGGCGGUUGGGGAUGGACUCGCGGCUUAUCAGCUUGUUGGUGGGGUAGUGGCUUACCAAGGCUUUGACGGGUAGCCGGCCUGAGAGGGUGACCGGCCACAUUGGGACUGAGAUACGGCCCAGACUCCUACGGGAGGCAGCAGUGGGGAAUAUUGCACAAUGGGCGGAAGCCUGAUGCAGCAACGCCGCGUGCGGGAUGACGGCCUUCGGGUUGUAAACCGCUUUCGCCUGUGACGAAGCGUGAGUGACGGUAAUGGGUAAAGAAGCACCGGCUAACUACGU